AAAACCAAAACAAAACGAGUUUUCAAUUCCACUUUUUUGGGGGGAAGGCAGCAUCGCCUCCUAGUGGCUAUGUCAAGAAUGGCAACGUUGAUCAAUCUUCAAGACUGCGUAGCAUUAGGCCCCUGCAAGUCCCAGGUUCUCCAGGGAACCAAGAGGUCCCGCUUGAAGCCCUCCCUGCUGCUGCCCCCUAGUGCGUAUCUCUUAACUUAGACAAAAGACCCUAUGGAUAGAGCAUCCUGUGGUGGGAACCGAAAUUACCCCUUCAAGCAAUAAGCACUGCCCUGUGCCAGCAAGACCCCGUGAUCGAUCCCAAGAUGAUGACCGAUCUGACCUUUACUGCCCACCUGCACAUACCCAGCAACUUCGUCUCACAUUUUCCUUAUAUAAACCUAGAAGUAUUUCCAGCACUUUGGACAGGCUGUGUGACAUUAGUCCACUGUUGUCCCAGUGCUGGCCUCACUGAAAUACAUUCCUUUCUUGUUUCACCAC